rnacentral:rRNA from 1 species
GUGUCAGCAGCCGCGGUAAAACGUAGGUGGCAAGCGUUAUCCGGAUUUACUGGGCGUAAAGGGUGUGCAGGCGGGACGACAAGUGGUGUAUGAAAUCUCCCAGCUUAACUGGGAUAGGUUAUGCCAGACUGUCGUUCUAGAGGGCGAGAGAGGGGGGUGGAAUUCCGGGUGUAGUGGUGAAAUGCGUAGAGAUCCGGAGGAACCCCAGAGGCGAAGGCGGCCCCCUGGCUCGUACCUGACGCUCAGCCACGAAAGCAUGGGGAGCGAACGGGAUUAGAUACCCCCGUAGUCC